rnacentral:misc_RNA from 1 species
GUGAAUCAUCGAAUUUUUGAACGCAAAUUGCACUCUCCUCGGAGAGUAUGCCUGUUUUAGGGUCAGCCUAUAAAAAAACGACAUCGUUGCUGUUUAGCGGUGGCGUUCGUCGGAAAUUGGGUCAUCUUAAAUAUUUUGGUUUUUAGCGACGUAAAAUUUUUUUUUUGGUUCCAUGAACGUUUCUAAGAUUUAUUUAUUUAAACGUUUAAGGUAUCGAUUUUUAUUAGAUGUGUAUAUCAUAU